ensembl:misc_RNA Metazoa_SRP Metazoan signal recognition particle RNA
GCUGGGCAUGGUGAUGCAUGUCUGUAGUCCCAGCUACUUGAGAGGCUGAGAUGGGAGGAUUGCUUGAGCCUGGGAGAUUGAGGCUGCAGUGAGCCAUGAGCAAGCCACUACACUCUAGCCUGGGCAACAGAGCAAGAUCCUGUCUCAA